rnacentral:misc_RNA from 1 species
GAUGAAGAACGUAGCGAAAUGCGAUAAGUAGUGUGAAUUGCAGAAUUCAGUGAAUCAUCGAAUCUUUGAACGCACAUUGCGCCCUUUGGUAUUCCAAAGGGCAUGCCUGUUCGAGCGUCAUUUGUACCCUCAAGCUUUGCUUGGUGUUGGGCGUCUUGUCUCUAGCUUUGCUGGAGACUCGCCUUAAAGUAAUUGGCAGCCGGCCUACCGGUUUCGGAGCGCAGCACAAGUCGCACUCUCUAUCAGCAAAGGUCUAGCAUCCAUUAAGCCUUUUUUUCAACUUUUGACCUCGGAUCAGGUAGGGAUACCCGCUGAACUUAAGCAUAUCAAUAAGCGGAGGA